rnacentral:sRNA from 1 species
UCUCGGUCAAGAUUAAGACGCCUUAGUC